AAACAUUAAUAGGUACCCCACNNCNCCAAUCCGCCCGGGAACAACAAGCANCAGCNUCAAACCCAAAGGACUUGGCGGUGCUUUAGACCCACCUAGAGGAGCCUGUCCUAGAACCGAUACCCCCCGUUCAACCUCACCACUUCUUGCCCAACCCGCCUAUAUACCACCGUCGUCAGCUUACCCUGUGAAGGAUUAAUAGUAAGCUUAACUGGCACAGCCCAAAACGUCAGGUCGAGGUGUAGCGCAUGAAGUGUGCAAGAGAUGGGCUACAUUUUCUGACCCAGAAAACCACGAAAGGAACAAUGAAAAANNNNUCCCGAAGGCGUAUUUAGCAGUAAUCAGGGAAUAGAGCGCCCU
rnacentral:rRNA from 1 species